rnacentral:rRNA from 1 species
CCCGGUGACCAUGGCGGGGAGGAAACACGCGUUCCCAUUCCGAACACGAUCGUUAAGGGCCCCUGCGGCAAUGGUACUGUGGUGUAGGCCACGGGAGAGUAGCACGUUGCCGGGA